GAUGAAGAACGCAGCGAAAUGCGAUACGUAAUGUGAAUUGCAGAAUUCAGUGAAUCAUCGAAUCUUUGAACGCAUAUUGCGCUCUCUGGUAUUCCGGAGAGCAUGCUUGUUUGAGUAUCAGUAAACACCUCAACUUCCAUAUCUUUUUUGAAAUGGGAGUUGGACUUGAGUGAUCCCAACGCUUUUCCUCACCGAAAAGUGGCGGGUUACUUGAAAUGCAGGUGCAGCUGGACUUUUCUCUGAGCUAUAAGCAUAUCUAUUUAGUCUGCCUAAAAAACAGAUUAUUACCUUUGCUGCAGCUAACAUAAAGGAGAUUAGUUCUUGUGCUGACUGAUGCAGGAUUCACAAAGACAGCUUCGGCCGACUUUGUAAACUCGAUCUCAAAUCAAGGAAGACUACCCGCUGAACUUAAGCAUAUCAAUAAGCGGAGGA
rnacentral:misc_RNA from 1 species